AGACCAUGUGCUUAGAGACUUGUAGAUUAAACCCAGGUCUCUGAUUCCUCACUAGUAUGUUUUCGUAAUAAUCCAUGGUUCUGACUGUUUAAAAGUAGCUUUUAUAUUUAUUGGGUAGAAAUAUCUUCCUGUAACAUAUGUCAUCUGCAGCUUCCAUAGAGGCAUCCUGUUGUAUGUAGUGGCCACAUAACAGACUGCAAAGAACUGGAACGCAGAGUAAUUUUAAUCCAAAAUGUUCAAAGAGAUGAAUGAAAUGAUAGGAUAGAAGCCUGGCGGAUAUCUGGACAGAACUAUGCAAGAGCCUUCCUGAGAAUGGAAGCCACAGGAGGGAAAACGGAACUUGGGAAAGGAAAGAGUAAAGUGGAAUUUCAAUGACAUCAUUUAAAUGCCUGGAUCCAAAAGUGUCUGGACAUUCAAUAUCAAAAUAUUUGCUUCUCACAUCAUAUUUCAGUGAUGUGAG
ensembl:lncRNA novel transcript